CCUUUGCUUAAUAACUUCUGCAUGAUCUUUAGAAGUAGAGAUCACACGCUAUAGUGGAAGGCAAAAAAUCACAAAUGGAACUUGUUUUUCUUAUCCUAAUUCAGGUGACUUGUUUAAGUGAGUGGGUGAGAAAAGUAAAACAGGCUGACCUUAAGUUUAAAUACUUUGAGGAACACCAGUAGAACCCAACUUGUUUAUUUCUUCAUGUACUUUCCAUCCUAAUACUUGAUGAUGAGAUGUAGAGGAUAUACAAACACAUAUAAAAACAGAUGACCAAGCUGCACAAUGACCAAGAAAGACUGUUUACAUACUACAUCUAUCAAGGGGAAAUAAACUCUUGGUCUAUGAUAGGAAUGUAGCUUGAAAAGCAACACUACUUUCACAUCAUUGGUACUUCCUUGAUACUGAAUUUUAUGCAGCUUCUCCUAACUAGAUUUAUUGUGAGAAGAUCCUGGAAUGGGAGGAGGCAGGGCCAAUUAGAAGAGAUAAUCAGCUGGAAUGCUGAGAACCAUUGCUCUGAAGGCCUCCCAUCUGUGCAGCUCCAUCAAAUGCACUUUGCUAAGGGAAGGACAGCUUGUUUGUUUUGGCCAUGGCUCCUGUGAGCAGAGAUAGCGAAAAACCAGGGAAUCCAACUGGAUAAAGAACAUCUGCAAAUGAUGUUCUGUUAAUGCGUAUUAUAUCCAAAGAAGCCUCAAUGCUUGGUCUCAGCUCCAGUCUCGGCCACACAUGUUGAUCCAUCAGGUUCAUUCAGAAUCAACUUUGGUUCUCUGUAAACAAAGAGAGUGCAGAGUCUGUUUCAUGCUAUUCUACAAUAACACCUUCAACUACUGAGUGAAAAAAAAAAAAAAAGAAAAAAAAAAAAGUUGCUAAUACAUUCUGUGUAAUGAAUCUUUGUGACUUGGUUUACAGCCAGAGCUGUCCAUCACAUACAGUGCUCUAUCAGCAAAGAGCGGUCAGAUCUUCACAGUGUACCUCCUGCAGAGAAGCCAAGAUCAUUAUGGACAUAAAUGCUGUUGUUAUUUAUGCUGCUCAGCUAUGGACUGAAUCCUAACAACUGCCUCUGGAGGCUCACUGCCAGCAAGGCUUUGAGAAGUCCUUGGAGCACUUUCGCAUGCUUCAUGGGAAGGAUCUGGAGGGAAGGUGUUUCUCUGCACUGUACUUCUGCAAUGUGGAGCAGUGCUGCCCUACAUCUUAGAAGAGCAACAAAAACAAAAUGACUGCAAGUGACUUCUAAAGCUUUUUUUUUUUUUUUAAUUUUUUUUUUUUUUAAUGGGCAAGCUUUUUGUUUAGAACAAGUACUAAAACAAUCAGUGGAAGUCACCACUCUCCCAGAAGGAUAAUAUUAGAGAAUCAGUGUGUUACUAAAGGGCAGUAUUUUUGUCCUGGGUCUUACCAAAAGCAACUUCUUGCUGAUAUACUUCCUUUUCUCCAAAAAAGUUUUCACCAAGGGCAAGUCUGAGAUUUAAAAUGAGGACUGCCAACUUUUUAAGUAAAAAUAAAAUAAAAUAAUGUGCCUUUAAUUAACAGCAUUUACAGAGAGAGAAUUUACAGUAUGUUUGUCUCCGUGAUGCAAAACUGAAAAUGAUCAUAAAUUAAUUUUUGUUAAGAUGUUGCUAUUAUUUUUCCCUUUCUUUGCUCCUUUCUUCAUUAGUUCACUUUAUACAAGUGGUUCCUUGUGGUUUGUCUAGGAUAUCAGUAAGCAUGUACAAUUAAGCCAGUGAGAGGAGUACUGCAAAACAGAUGUGGACAGACCCAGGCAUAAUUGGGCGGGUAAACUGCUGGAAGCACCAAGCAGGGAAGGCCCAAUCAUGUUCUUGUUUUCUGAUCUCUGGCAGGGGAAUGCAGUUGGCUGAUAGUGGGUGUUUUGAACAGCCCUGUGGCUUUGCGGUAUUACUGUGCAAUAUCAUUUGGGAGACCAGCUGGAUUCCUGAUGUGGAAUUAUUGUUCCCUGGCUCGGACGUGCUGUGGAAGCAGUGAGCCCCGCUCCGAACCUCUGAGGGCAACCUGCCUUGCAUAGGAAGAACGGGGGAACAAGCUCUGAAAAGAGACAGCUUCACUCCUCGAGCAGAUGGCAGGCAACUGCAGGAAACAGAGAAUCAACACGAAGUGAAGGAGGCCCAAGAAAUGUGGGGUGGAUCCAGGACCCUCAGAUCAAAUUGGGAAUAGCUGUGAAUGAGUGGAAUGGGUGUCUUAAAGAUAUGGUCUCAUCUGCCAUUCCUAGUAGCUACAGAAAAUCAAGCUGGAGUACUGAAUUAGCAAAUAUUGACAUCAUAUAAUCCAUAUGUCAGGGUUUUUGCAACCAGAUUUUGUGCAGAUCUUAAACAACAUUUGCAUACUGAAACUAUGGAAAUUUUGUAUUUUUAUGUAAAGCUAUAUGAGACAUUCCAGAGGCGUGUUCAAGUUUUCUUCAGUGUAAACUUUAAAUUAAAUAUAACCACAGCAACCAGUUGCUUUUCUCUUAAGAGUUUACUCUGGACCUUCUACAGUGUUUUCUAUUAAUAAAGAUAGUGAGAAUUUAAUGUGAGCUGACUCACAUACCCAAUAGGAAAAGAUGAAACAGCAUACUAAGCAGUCAAACAUCACUGUAAAAUCUAAACCAAUUGUACAGUUUAGAAUAACAAAUCCAAGUUUUUAUGAACCAAGCAAGUGUGUUUCCUUUGUUGGCUCCUCACAUCAGCACUGGCAAAGGAUCAUUUAUCGUCCUUUGCUCCUUUACAUUUUGUGAGAGUUCAUGCACUGGAAGAGGAUCCUGCUUUCUCUAAGGAGGAGUGUGCAGAAGAGAUCAGCUCCUCUCUCCACACCAUACCCCAGAGAAGGUACUGCUGACUCAUAAUCAAUGCUUGCAAAGGCAAUAUCUAUUUUAUGUCAGCUGUGAACACUAGCUGAUAUAAAGACUCUUCUUAUUUGCUGCUACUAAUUACUUUGAAAAAGAAAAUGGUACUAUUAAAAGCCCCUUUUUUCUCUGCCAGCACAAA